GUGUCUGUGAUGAUCCACGAUUACCUACAUUGUUUGAGCCUCAUGAGAACAGCACCGGCUGAGACACC